CUUUGCUAAGUUGGAGAAGAAGAUUGCACAAAUGAGCCCAACUGAUGUAGAACAUAUGAGGAAAGUAAUUAAAGAGGAGCUGAAGCGACGUGCGGGCAAGGGCAAAUCGUGCAAACUGCAGAUUUUAGUUCCGAGCUAAGAAUUAGACCCAUUGUAACACCCUGACUCCAAAU